GAACGCCGUGUGCGAUGAAAGUCGCCCGCAUGGUGUAGGCUCGUCCGAAAACCGCACAAGGUUAGGCGAGAAU
rnacentral:misc_RNA from 1 species